AGGAGCCUUGGCGCAAUGGUAGCGCGUUGGUUUUCGGCUUGAAAACAUGAAUACACCAAAGGUAUGGUACCUGCCACUCACGGCACCCAGCAAUGUCCUAACGAUGAAUAGGUUGUGGGUUCGAUCCCCAUGGGCUUCG
rnacentral:tRNA from 1 species